rnacentral:rRNA from 1 species
GACCCCGCACAAGCAGUGGAGCAUGUGGUUUAAUUCGACGCUACGCGAGAAACCUUACCAGGGUUUGACAUGGUGGAUAAGGCCUCAGAGAUGAGGAGAUAAUACCCACACACAGGUGGUGCAUGGUUGUCGUCAGCUCGUGUCGUGAGAUGUUGGGUUAAGUCCCGCAACGAGCGCAACCCUCGUUUCUAGUUACCAUCAUUUAGUUGGGGACUCUAGAGAGACUGCCGAUGUAAAUCGGAGGAAGGUGGGGAUGACGUCAAAUCAGCAUGCCCUUUAUAUCCUGGGCGACACACGUGCUACAAUGGCCGGUACAAAGAGAUGCAAACUCGCGAGAGUAAGCAAAACUCGGAAAGCCGGUCUCAGUUCAGACUGAAGUCUGCAAUUCGACUUCACGAAGGCGGAAUUGCUAGUAAUCGCAGAUCAGCAUGCUGCGGUGAAUACGUUCCCGGGGUUU